rnacentral:lncRNA from 1 species
AGACACCAAAUUAUAUAUUGUCUCCAAAACAAGCCAUCUCGCCCAUGUAACUGGUCAACCGAACAUGAGCUACACCCACAAUCCGUAAAAGUCCACCGUAUCAACAACCCAACAGACCACAAUGUCCAAAAUUCCUGUUCCAAAUAACUCCACAACCAAGAAACCAAUACCCGGUAAUAAGACAACAGAACCAGACCGCAGUUUAUCACAAACCUUACGUGCAUAUAUACUCUCCAAAUUAUCAUGCAACGCAGCUUAAGAUACUUCAUAAUCCAACUCAACGCAAACCACACCAAUAUCAAAUAUUGACCUUCCAUCUUCACCUCUUUC